rnacentral:rRNA from 1 species
CCUACGGGUGGCUGCAGUGGGGAAUUUUGGACAAUGGGGGCAACCCUGAUCCAGCCAUUCCGCGUGAGUGAAGAAGGCCUUCGGGUUGUAAAGCUCUUUUGUCCGGGAAGAAACGGUUUCACCUAAUACGUGAGACUACUGACGGUACCGGAAGAAUAAGGACCGGCUAACUACGUGCCAGCAGCCGCGGUAAUACGUAGGGUCCAAGCGUUAAUCGGAAUUACUGGGCGUAAAGCGUGCGCAGGCGGUUGUGUAAGCCAGAUGUGAAAUCCCCG